AGUGGCGUACGGGUGAGUAACACGUGGAUCAUCUACCCUGGAGUGGGGAAUAACGCUGGGAAACCGGCGCUAAUACCGCAUAUACCCGAGAGGGGAAAGCAGCAAUGCGCUCGAGGAGGAGUCCGCGGCCGAUUAGCUAGUUGGCAGGGUAAAAGCCUACCAAGGCUGUGAUCGGUAGCCGGCCUGAGAGGGCACACGGCCACACUGGCACUGAAACACGGGCCAGACUCCUACGGGAGGCAGCAGUGGGGAAUCUUGCACAAUGGGGGAAACCCUGAUGCAGCGACGCCGCGUGAGCGAUGAAGCCCUUCGGGGUGUAAAGCUCUUUCGGCAGGGAAGAAUAUGACGGUACCUGCAGAAGCAGCUGCGGCUAACUACGUGCCAGCAGCCGCGGUAAUACGUAGGCAGCAAGCGUUGUUCGGAGUUACUGGGCGUAAAGGGUGUGUAGGUGGCGCGCUAAGUUCCGUGUGAAAUCUCCCGGCUCAACCGGGAGGGUGCGAUGAA
rnacentral:rRNA from 1 species